rnacentral:lncRNA from 1 species
AUGUACGCGGUCGGAAGCUGCAGACACAGGACGUGCGACACCCACAUGGCCUCACCUGGAGGAGCAGCCUCACGUCAGGACGUCCGUCCUUGUGCGCGAGAACACGCGUCACGUGCCGCAGGCUCAGCCUCACUUCCUGCACAGCACCGCAAGGUCUCCAGGACCCCGCACGCCUGCGUCCCGGGCCCCGUGCUAAGGACGCACCGGCCCCAGUGGACGGCGGUGCUGGACUUGGUUCCAGGGCCCCGGGAGUCCCAGGGCCCACUCCGGCCGGGGCCUCCACAGCAGCCCUCAAACGGCGGGAAGGCCACGUGGGCAGAGGCCACGCCCCUCGUUUGUCAUCCACGCAGGCCCCGCCCAGCCGCGCCUCAGCGCCGCGGUCCCUCAGGCGGCCGAGGCCGCGCGCACCCACCACACAGGGACGCCCUCAGCCCUGCCUUCACCCUGGAGGACGUCGGCGGCCUGGAGCCCUUGAGGCCAUUGCUGGGGACACCAGCUCGAGGGAGAAGCCGCCGAGAGCGAACACCAAGGCUGGGCCCAGGAGCGGAGGCGGCUUGGCGGGAUGGCGCUGAGGAACAGCGUUUCCGGAGGGCAGAGCACCGUCCCGGCCUCAGAACUGACGCUCAGAGGGAGGAAGACGAGGGAGCGGCGCGCACAGCUUCCUGGGAAGAGCGAGGUAGGGGAGGGCGGUGGCCGCGUGCAGGGGCUGGAAGACGCGCCAAGCCCGGCGCAUGCGCCCAGGCCCGGCGCAUGCGCCCAGGCCCGGCGCAUGCGCCCAGGCCCGGCGCAUGCGCCCAGGCCCGGCGCAUGCGCCCAGGCCCGGCGCAUGCGCGCAGGCCGGCGGUGCAAGCCCAGGUAGGCAAGCCUUGGCCGCCCCGCCGGGAGAGGAGUCUCAGGACACCCUGCGUGGAUCGGACGGUAGGAAAUGCUGCCUUCGUCUGUCCAGCCUCUCACAGGAAUGAUGGUUUCCUUCUGCGCGUGGGCGUGAGCGUCCUUCAACCCGCGAGCUUCGAGAUCUGUCAGGGUUUGGUUGCACCUGGCAGGAGCUGGAGACGUGUCCCUAGGAGCCCUGUCCUCCGUGUCUCCCGGAGCUGCGGGGUUGGAGGAGGCGCAGGGCCCCGGGGUGCUGCAGCCUGGGGGCAGGAGAAGGUGCACGGAGGCGCAAAGUCUGUGCCGGCUGGGAAAUCAUUCGUUCCCUCAUUUGCUCACUGA